GUUUCCCCUUCUCUGUCCGUCUUUAGGCUUGGGGCUGGAGAGGAGAGCGUCCCGACUCGUCUCGCUCGUCGGGUAGAAACCCUAGCUUCGUAUAAACCCAAACCCCCGCCUCGCCGGAGCGGCUGCAGCAGCAGCCGGAGGCGCCGGCGGCCAUGGACGCGAUGCGGAAGCAGCUGGACGUGCUCAUGGGGGCCAACCGCAACGGCGACGUGCGGGAGGUCAACCGCAAGUACUUCGACCGCGACGUCUGCCGCCUCUUCCUCGCCGGACUCUGCCCCCACGACCUCUUCCAGCUCACGAAAAUGGAUCUCGGACCCUGCCCCAAGGUCCACUCGCUGCAGCUGCGGAAAGACUACGAGGAGGUAAAAGCAAAGGGGACGGAGAAUUUCGACAGGGAGCUCGAGGACAUGAUAGACAGGCUCAUCGUGGAGUGCGAGCGCAAAAUCCAGAGGGCGCUCAAACGCCUCGCCGAUGAGGAUGCCAAGGCUGCUAUCGCCAUAUCCGUCUCCGAGGUCACUCAGUCUGAAGAAGUUGCGCAGCUGUCAAAGGAAAUCAAGGAGAAAAUGAAAGAAGCCGAUAUCUUUGAUUUUGAAGGGAAGACUGAUGAUAAAAUCAAGACCAUGGAAUUGGUGGAAGAAUUAAGAUCUAAAAGGGCUGACUUGCAGGCUACCCUCUUGCUUGAUGCCUUUAACAAGGACCGAGCUGCAAUACCUCAACCUAUUCCACCACCUCAAAUGGCAACACUGCCAGCACCUCCUCCUCCUGAUGCUCGUACUCAAGAACUGAUCAAUGAGAAGCUAAGUAAAGCUGAAGCCCUUGGUGAGCAAGGGAUGGUAGAAGAAGCACAGAAAGCUUUAGAAGAAGCAGAAGCUCUCAAAAAGUUGGCGGCGGCACGGCAGGAGCCUGUUCCUGAUCCUUCUAAAUACAGUGUUGCUGAUGUUCGAAUUACUGAUCAGAAAUUGCGCCUCUGUGACAUAUGUGGAGCAUUUUUGAGUGUCUAUGACAAUGACCGACGUCUUGCUGACCAUUUUGGAGGGAAGCUACACUUGGGUUAUAUGUUGAUUCGUGAGAAACUGAAAGAACUCCAGGUGCUGAAUGUAAUGUCCCAUUUUCUGCUUUAAAGAGUUACUCUGUUUUGGGCCUUUUGGCAUCUGUGAGUUUUCUUAUCUCAAGGAAGAGCCUUCAGGUUCUUGCCUUCUAUAUAUGUUAUUUUAUCUCACAUUGGAGGGCGCCAUGGUUGUUACGAUAGUCAUUACAGGAAUUAGUCAAUGUUGCAUAAGCGGAAUCUCAUGUGACAAUCGUCCUCCUUCCUUCCCAUGGCAACAACAGCCGCCAACUGUAUGUUGACAAAUGUAAGCAUAGGAGUGAGCAGAACAUGGUAUGGAGAAUCAUGUUUACUUAAUUGUGUCAGCUUUCUCAUAUAUACUGAUCAGAAGCUGGAGCUUGCUUUCUGCUUGGUGAUCCAUAUUUUGUAGAGCUGGUGAUAAAUAGUACCGGUUAAGUUACCCUGAAAGCGCACCCUUUUGCCAUCUUUUCCUGUAAGUUACAACCUGUUCAUAUGCUGCCUGCUCCAUAAAUAUGAGGAGAGGAACAAAAAAAGGACCGAGAAACCUGAAGAUGACAGACGAUCAAGGGAAAACAGCAGGGACCGCAAUGGGCGGGCAUCCAGGGAUAGAGAUGCAGAAAGAAAGGACAGGGUUGAGCCCCGGGAUAGCAGAAGAGACCACGAUAGGGAUCGUGAUAGGCGCCAUGACAGGGACCGUCGCCAUGACCGCGACCGUGAUAGAGAUCAUGACCGCUCCUCCCGUGGUAGAGAGCAUGACCGUGAUAGGAGAAGGGAACGCUCUCGAUCCAGGGACCGCAGCAGGCGCCAUGAAAGAUAUUGAAUCUGUUGCUCCAGGGUACUCUCGUCUUCCUGCAUGAUAGUGAUGGUGCUGUUUAAGAUGUAUGGUGAGGUUGCGCUUUGUACUGGAGAAAGGAAGAUAGUCUUGAUGUUUGUCUUCACUGCUGGAUUGUUAGUGAAAACCCUGUGUGUUUUAUGCCAUCUUUUCUGUUAUCUGACCUGAUGUGGUGUACAAGAAUAUACUGUUUUAUAUGUUACCAACAAUGUAUGAGUUUCGUGUUACUCAAGCCUCCUUGGGCCCAGUUGUUAAACUCACAUGUGACAAUAUUUGUAAUUUGCUUAUCUUGUGAUGGCAUGGAGCUAAUUUUCUGUCU